UGCAAAAGAUUUCAGAGUUGCCUUCUGUCAUCCCUAGAGGUAGCCUUACCAUAUACUGGCGUAUGGAAUAAGAUCAGACCUCCUGAAUUCCUCAAUUUUGCAUGGAUUAACUGAGGGUGAGAGACUAAUAUAUUUACUGACCAGAUUUUUUUCCUCCAAAACAGCCAAAUGGAGUCUGGAGAUGCAGGACUGGCAGAGUCAGCAUUAUUAUGCGAUUCCCAU
rnacentral:lncRNA from 1 species